GCGCAGCAGGCGCGAAAACUUUACAAUGCGGGAAACCGUGAUAAGGGAACUCCGAGUGCCCGUAAAAUCGGGCUGUCCAUCUGUUUAAAUAACAGGUGAAGAAAGGGCCGGGCAAGACCGGUGCCAGCCGCCGCGGUAAUACCGGCGGCUCGAGUGGUGGCCACUAUUACUGGGCUUAAAGCGUUCGUAGCUGGUCUGUUAAGUCUCUGGGGAAAUCUACUGGCUUAACCAAUAGGCGUUUCAGGGAUACUGGCAGACUAGGGACCGGGAGAGGUGAGGGGUACUCCAGGGGUAGGA
rnacentral:rRNA from 1 species